UCCGUAGGCGGGCAAUUAAGUCAGAGGUGAAAUCCCACAGCUCAACUGUGGAACUGCCUUUGAUACUGGUUGUCUUGAGUUACAGUGAAGUAGAUAGAAUAUGUAGUGUAGCGGUGAAAUGCAUAGAUAUUACAUAGAAUACCGAUUGCGAAGGCAGUCUACUAACUAUAUACUGACGCUAAUGGACGAAAGCGUGGGGAGCGAACAGGAUUAGAUACCCUGGUAGUCC
rnacentral:rRNA from 1 species